rnacentral:rRNA from 1 species
GAUGAACGCUGGCGGCGUGCCUAAUACAUGCAAGUCGAGCGAACAGAUGAGGAGCUUGCUCCUCUGACGUUAGCGGCGGACGGGUGAGUAACACGUGGAUAACCUACCUAUAAGACUGGGAUACCUUCGGGAAACCGGAUCUAAUACCGGAUAAUAUAUUGAACCUCAUUGUUCAAUAGUUAAAGUCGGUUUUUCUGUCACUUAUAGAUUGAUCCGCGCCGCAUUAGCUAGUUGGUAAGGUAACGGCUUACCAAGGCAAGGAGGGGUAGACGACCUGAGAGGGACGUCGCACAGCUGGGAAGAGAGAAAGGGCCGAGACACUUACACUGAGACACAGUAGGGAAUCUUACGGGAGGGGGGAGAGCUUGACGGAGGAACGUGGGGUGAAGGAUGAUGGUGUUAGGACCGUAGAACUAUGAUAUCAGGGAAGAACAAAUGUGUAAGUAACUAUGAACGUCUUGACGGUACCGAAUCAGAAAGCCACGGCUAACUACGUG